GCUGUUGUGCUAAGGAAGCAGCUUCAACAGGCACUUGGUGAGUACGGGAAGCAUCCAUUCAUUGCAAAAUCACGGGGACAGAGGAGGAAUUCAUCGGAUCAUAACACUGAGAAACUCCAGAGGCUUCUGGUUCACUGCUCGGAUUCCACAGAUGAGGGUCAGAGGCAGAGGUGGAAGCUGGAAUGGGCAAGCCUGCCCUCUCCCCGCCUCUCCACGGCGCUGUAUUCAGGCUGUUUCUGCAACUUGACGUGAGGCCUGGCCCCAGGGAAAGCAGCAGGGCCUCAUCUCCUCCUUGUGCUGCUCAGAGGUGGAGCCUUCUCAGGGUCAGUCCAGCUCAGGAGCCCCUCUCCAGCUUGGUCACCAAAGCUGCCUGGUCCCAGGGCGGUGCUGAGUGACAGGCAUGCCACCCAAUCUAAUUGGACACUUCAUACCCAACGCACGAGUUAACGCCCUGUCUCCAAGGCACAGGCUUUACGGAAACAGCUUUAACGACCUCUUCACUUACAGACAAGACUCUUAGUGGUGGAACCUCAGGCACCCAUGCAGGAUGUAAGAAAGCGCUUCGCUUGUAUAUACAUGAACUGAAAAGUGUGUAGAAAAAUAAGUACCGUAAUAGGUAAUAAAAUGUAUGUUUUUUUAU